AUGCAAGUCGGACGGUAGCACAGAGGAGCUUGCUCCUCGGGUGACGAGUGGCGGACGGGUGAGUAAUGUCUGGGAAACUGCCCGAUGGAGGGGGAUAACUACUGGAAACGGUAGCUAAUACCGCAUAACGUCGCAAGACCAAAGUGGGGGACCUUCGGGCCUCACACCAUCGGAUGUGCCCAGAUGGGAUUAGCUUGUAGGCGGGGUAACGGCCCACCUAGGCGACGAUCCCUAGCUGGUCUGAGAGGAUGACCAGCCACACUGGAACUGAGACACGGUCCAGACUCCUACGGGAGGCAGCAGUGGGGAAUAUUGCACAAUGGGCGCAAGCCUGAUGCAGCCAUGCCGCGUGUAUGAAGAAGGCCUUCGGGUUGUAAAGUACUUUCAGCGGGGAGGAAGGUGYUGAGGUUAAUAACCUCAGCAAUUGACGUUACCCGCAGAAGAAGCACCGGCUAACUCCGUGCCAGCAGCCGCGGUAAUACGGAGGGUGCAAGCGUUAAUCGGAAUUACUGGGCGUAAAGCGCACGCAGGCGGUCUGUUAAGUCAGAUGUGAAAUCCCCGGGCUUAACCUGGGAACUGCAUUUGAAACUGGCAGGCUUGAGUCUCGUAGAGGGGGGUAGAAUUCCAGGUGUAGCGGUGAAAUGCGUAGAGAUCUGGAGGAAUACCGGUGGCGAAGGCGGCCCCCUGGACGAAGACUGACGCUCAGGUGCGAAAGCGUGGGGAGCAAA
rnacentral:rRNA from 1 species